rnacentral:lncRNA from 1 species
CUUGGACACAAUUCGUGGCUAACCACAGAGUGAGUUAAUUAUAUAACAUUGUAUUUAAAGCCUUCAAAUUGCCUUUCGUAUGAUUGAACCUUUUCUCCGUGAAAUACUGGAAAUGUAACCGUUCUUGAAAGUACAACAUUUUCUCGGAUUCAACGGACUGUGCUAUCAAUUAUUUUGGACAUUUCAUACACUAGAAACAUUAAUUCAAC